GGAAUAUUGGACAAUGGGCGAAAGCCUGAUCCAGCCAUGCCGCGUGGAUGAAGAAGGCCCUAGGGGUGUAAAGUCCUUUCGUUGGUGAAGAUAAUGACGGUAACCAAAGAAGAAGCCCCGGCUAAUUUCGUGCCCUCAGCCGCGGUAAUACGAAAGGGGCUAGCGUUGUUCGGAAUUACUGGGCGUAAAGCGCACGUAGGCGGCGAUGUAAGUUGGGGGUGAAAUCCCGGGGCUCAACUCCGGAACUGCCUUCAAAACUACAUGGCUAGAGGAUGUGAGAGGAUAGUGGAAUUCCGAGUGUAGAGGUGAAAUUCGUAGAUAUUCGGAAGAACACCAGUGGCGAAGGCGACUGUCUGGCACAUUUCUGACGCUGAGGUGCGAAAGCGUGGGGAGCAAAC
rnacentral:rRNA from 1 species